GCUCGACGGGAGGAACUAAGCAUGCGAGUCAUUGUAGCAAUACAAGGCAGACGGCUCAGUAACGCGUAGUCAAUCUACCCUAUGGACGGGAAUAACCUCGGGAAACUGAGAAUAAUGCCCGAUAGAACAUUAUACCUGGAACGGUUUAUGUUUCAAAUGAUUUAUCGCCGUAGGAUGGGACUGCGGCCUAUCAGUUUGUUGGUGAGGUAAUGGCCCACCAAGACUAUUACAGGUACGGGCUCUGAGAGGAGUAGCCCGGAGAUGGGUACUGAGACACGGACCCAGGCCCUAUGGGGCGCAGCAGGCGAGAAAACCUUGCAAUGUGCGAAAGCACGACAAGGUUAAUCCGAGUGGUUUCUGCUAAAGAAACCUUUUGCUAGUCCUAGAAACACUAGUGAAUAAGGGGUGGGCAAGUUCUGGUGUCAGCCGCCGCGGUAAAACCAGCACCUCAAGUGGUCAGGAUGAUUAUUGGGCCUAAAGCAUCCGUAGCUCGUUUUGUAAGUUUUCGGUUAAAUCCAUACGCUCAACGUAUGGGCUGCCGGGAAUACUGCAUAACUAGGAAGUGGGAGAGGUAGACGGUACUCGGUAGGAAGGGGUAAAAUCCUUUGAUCUAUUGAUGACCACCUGUGGCGAAGGCGGUCUACCAGAACACGUUCGACGGUGAGGGAUGAAAGCUGGGGGAGCAAACCGGAUUAGAUACCCGGGUAGUCCCAGCUGUAAACUAUGCAAACUCAGUGAUGCAUUGGCUUGUGGCCAAUGCAGUGCUGCAGGGAAGCCGUUAAGUUUGCCGCCUGGGAAGUACGUACGCAAGUAUGAAACUUAAAGGAAUUGGCGGGGGAGCACCACAAGGGGUGAAGCCUGCGGUUCAAUUGGAGUCAACGCCGGG
rnacentral:rRNA from 1 species